rnacentral:ncRNA from 16 species
GCCGAUGAUGAUGGUGGGCACUCGCCGAUUGGUGAGGUAAGGGGCGAGGAGACAGAGG